rnacentral:lncRNA from 1 species
AUGAAGUGCUCCAGAGAGCACCCGGUCUGUUGCGAGAAGGAGCUGGCAGAGGUUGCUUUAGAAGACAGAGGGAAUCCUCAGGUGUUGGAGGCAUUCAGGAAAACUGAGUUUCGUGCACGCGAAAGGGAGCAAUCUCACAGCGGCAGCCACUACUACGAGCGCUACGGGUUGAUUGCUGUGCACCGGGACGUCGAGUCCUGGCUCUGCGUCAGCGAAGAUCCACAGCUGGCCAUAGCGAUAGAGGAGAUCGUCAACACUUUCAGCCCGGGCCUCUCUGUCGAGCUGCUGCUCUACAAUGUCUUGGGAAGCAACAGCGAGAGCGCCACAUGCUUGGUGCGAUACCUAGUGAACUACUACGCCUCCAAUCACGUGUGCGAGCACAUCAAAGCCACACUGAGGAAUGUGAUCCGGUGGACCGUGCUGGCGGGCUUUGUGCCGUGCGUCUUUGUGCCUUGGAGGAAGCUCAGAACUCUCGGCUUGGGCUUGUCGGGGAGAGCCACCGUGACCAACUUGGUGUCAUCCAAGCCGGUCGUUCACGAGCAGGCGUACCGGUGUGACUGGGAUGACAACGGAGAUGUCGGACAGGGUCAAAAAAGUAAACGAAGGAGAACGGAUAGGCAGUCCAGCUGUCGCCGCUGUCACCGUCACGGGCCGUGCUUCAGGCCAGUGCGGGAUGGCCUCAGUCAUCCUGAUGCCGCGUCUGAGGCGGUGCAGGAGCGAGAGGCUCACGAACGGGCUCUGUCCACGGUGCUUGACGUGCCGCUGGAGCGACUGGCAGACACCUUGAAACUGCUGAUGUGCAACUCUGUGCCUGAGACGCAGGUGUCUGUGGUGUGCAAGAUAAUCCGAGACUGGAUCGACCGCGACGUCGCGCUCAAGCGAGACCCGAUUGGGGAAACGGAGUUAAAGAUGGCAGCCGUGGCCCUCUGGGGUGUUAUGAAGACCUUCGAGCACGGCCGAUGCCCGGCCGUGCCAGAGUGCAGGGCUGCGACCUGUCUGGCCUUCUACGACACGGAGACCGACCUCGUCACCGCCACGGUGGACGGGAUCCUCUACAGACACAUCUCCCCGUGGGACAGUUGCUGGUCAAGGGGUUCAGAAAUGUCCUCCUUGGCCAAGAGAGCUCACCGGACGGUCCAGAGUUGGGCCACUCUCUUUCGCAAGAUCAUACAGGGCCUGACUGCGGCCUCGACGAGACACGUGUACACCAGCGCAGGUGUGGACCGCUCCUCCUUGACCCACCUGGCCGACGUGAUGCUUUCGUCCCGAGGAGAGCAGGAGCACGUUGGCCUCUCGGUCCCGGGAAAUGCGUUCGGCAAACCCCUACUUGACAAUCUGUCUCGCUUCCUCACCGGCGACCGCCAGCACGACAUGUUUGGCCUGAACGCCGCCGAGCUGCCGGACGUGUUUCUGAGGUCCGGCGUCGGCGCCACAGUUUCCGAGCACAAGUCUGCCAGCGUCUCGCACAGUCUGAGCAAAAUGAUGGCUUCGAUGAUUGCCGAAGGCAAAGAGGUUUUGCUCGUCAGGCAGUUCCUCGGGGAGGUGACUAGGUAUCCUCGUCUGGCCUUGGCACGUCUCAAGAGAGAUUGCAAAGAUCAAUGUCUACUGGGCAUGGCAGAGAGUGUUGCCAGGCAGAUAGAACGGGCCGCAGGCGAGGACGGCGAUGGGCGCUCCAAAGAGGAGCCGGUCACGGAGCUGGGCUCCGACGUUAAGCUUGUGUGCAACUACCCGUCCUCUGUCAGCGUCUCCCACUUGGAGGAAACCUUGAGCAUGUGGACAAAUUUUUGGAGGAGCACUCUAUCCGGAUUCAGUCAGUUCAACAGGAGACACAACACUAUUCAGUACAAACAACAGGGAUACGGUGAGAGAACUUGA